GAUAAUCAGACUCGAACAGAUCGAGGUUAAAACUAAAGGAGGAAAAAGCCGAGAUCCAAAAUCUUAAAAAAAUCACGUGCCAAAUUGAGGGAGGAACACACAAGACACACAAAAAAGAACUCACAAAACUCAAGGACAACUUUAUCUAAUUUUUCACGCGCGAAGCGAAAAGCAAAACAAAACAAAUCA
rnacentral:ribozyme from 1 species